rnacentral:rRNA from 1 species
UGAUGGCGAGUGGCGAACGGGUGAGUAAUACAUCGGAACGUGUCCGUUUGUGGGGGACAACCGUCCGAAAGGAUGGCUAAUACCGCAUAAGACCUGAGGGUGAAAGCCGGGGACCGCAAGGCCCGGCGCAGACGGAGCGGCCGAUGAUUGAUUAGCUAGUUGGGGAGGUAAAGGCUCACCAAGGCGACGAUCAAUAGCUGGUCUGAGAGGACGACCAGCCACACUGGAACUGAGACACGGUCCAGACUCC